rnacentral:rRNA from 1 species
ACCCUUUGUGACAUACCUAUAACUGUUGCUUCGGCGGGUAGGGUCUCCGCGACCCUCCCGGCCUCCCGCCUCCGGGCGGGUCGGCGCCCGCCGGAGGAUAACCAAACUCUGAUUUAACGACGUUUCUUCUGAGUGGUACAAGCAAAUAAUCAAAACUUUUAACAACGGAUCUCUUGGUUCUGGCAUCGAUGAAGAACGCAGCGAAAUGCGAUAAGUAAUGUGAAUUGCAGAAUUCAGUGAAUCAUCGAAUCUUUGAACGCACAUUGCGCCCGCCAGCAUUCUGGCGGGCAUGCCUGUUCGAGCGUCAUUUCAACCCUCAAGCUCUGCUUGGUGUUGGGGCCCUACAGCUGAUGUAGGCCCUCAAAGGUAGUGGCGGACCCUCUCGGAGCCUCCUUUGCGUAGUAACUUUACGUCUCGCACUGGGAUCCGGAGGGACUCUUGCCGUAAAACCCCCAAUUUUCCAAAGGUUGACCUCGGAUCAGGUAGGAAUACCCGCUGAACUUAAGCAUAUCAAAA